AUGGCGUACGACGGCAUGCAGUUCCGCGACCCUCCCAUGCACCACGACAACGACGAGCAGCAACAUGGAUGGGAGUGGACUGCAUCCCACGUCGUACGUUCACGCAGCAAGCCACCACCCCGCACCCUGCGGUCUGCUCCCUCGCCGGUGGUGGAUCCAAGCUCAUAUGCGCCCAUGCAGUCCACUGCAUCCGUGAAGUUCGGUGAUGUUCUAUAA
rnacentral:rRNA from 1 species